GAAUGGGCCCGCGGCGCAUUUAGCUAGUUGGUGAGGUAACGGCUCACCAAGGCGACGAUGCGUAGCCGACCUGAGAGGGUGAUCGGCCACACUGAGACUGAGACACGGCCCAGACUCCUACGGGAGGCAGCAGUAGGGAAUCUUCCGCAAUGGACGAAAGUCUGACGGAGCAACGCCGCGUGAGCGAUGAAGGCCUUCGGGUCGUAAAGCUCUGUUGUUAGGGAAGAACAAGUAUCGGAGUAACUGCCGGUACCUUGACGGUACCUAACCAGAAAGCCACGGCUAACUACGUGCCAGCAGCCGCGGUAAUACGUAGGUGGCAAGCGUUGUCCGGAAUUAUUGGGCGUAAAGCGCGCGCAGGCGGUCCUUUAAGUCUGAUGUGAAAGCCCACGGCUCAACCGUGGAGGGUCAUUGGAAACUGGGGGACUUGAGUACAGAAGAGGAAAGCGGAAUUCCACGUGUAGCGGUGAAAUGCGUAGAGAUGUGGAGGAACACCAGUGGCGAAGGCGGCUUUCUGGUCUGUAACUGACGCUGAGGCGCGAAAGCGUGGGGAGCAACCAGGAUUAGAUAAACUCAAAGGAAUUGACGGGGGCCCGCACAAGCGGUGGAGCAUGUGGUUUAAUUUGAAGCAACGCGAAGAACCUUACCAGGUCUUGACAUCCUCUGACACUCCUAGAGAUAGGACGUUCCCCUUCGGGGGACAGAGUGACAGGUGGUGCAUGGUUGUCGUCAGCUCGUGUCGUGAGAUGUUGGGUUAAGUCCCGCAACGAGCGCAACCCUUGUUCUUAGUUGCCAGCAUUUAGUUGGGCACUCUAAGGAGACUGCCGGUGACAAACCGGAGGAAGGUGGGGAUGACGUCAAAUCAUCAUGCCCCUUAUGACCUGGGCUACACACGUGCUACAAUGGAUGGUACAAAGGGCUGCAAGACCGCGAGGUUUAGCCAAUCCCAUAAAACCAUUCUCAGUUCGGAUUGCAGGCUGCAACUCGCCUGCAUGAAGCCGGAAUCGCUAGUAAUCGCGGAUCAGCAUGCCGCGGUGAAUACGUUCCCGGGCCUUGUACACACCGCCCGUC
rnacentral:rRNA from 2 species